GGAGAGGCGGUCCUGCUCGCCGGCGCCCAUUAAAAGAUUGUCCUGCGGCGGCUCCUGCGUACACACUCUGAGCCUCUGGGCCGGUCCGCCUCCUGGUUCUGGCUGAGACUGACGGGCUGAAGUGGUGCUCAGGAGUGAUUGCAGAACAGGAGAUUGGGGGUUGAAGGGUCUCUCAUCAGUAUUCCUCAUCUGGAGUCUGGAGGUUUAAUCACAGAGAACGUAAAAUGAUGUUAAACUCGACGUCCUGAAGAAAACCUCCGCCACGUCUGAUCUUCAUCAACCUUAAACUUCAGGUGAUGAACAUCUGACACCUAAAUAUCUAUAUUUGUUCACAAGAGCUCUUCAUCAAGAGUGGAGAUGAGGAGGAGGAGGAUUUUACACCUUUAAAAAACACAAAUUUACAAAAUGAUUCAACAUAAAAAAAAACGUGUUCAACUUUACUGAGAAACAGUUUCAUGAUAAUAAUCGUUCAUUUCUAAUCAUGUGGGAAUUUAGGAUUUCUCCACAUCACCUGCUACAACAACGUCCUCAAACACGUGCCACUUAAAAUAACCGUCAUGCUUUUAUUUUGAAAUGAGCUAGCUUUGUAUUGAGCUGCUGUAUUUGCUGCACUCUAAAGCUAUGCUUUUAUUUUGAAAUAUACCACAUGCAGUUAAGGAGAAAAUGAUAAGGUUUAAAUCUUCAGUCGGUCAGUGAAGAAAAAUCUUUAUAUGUCAGUUUUUAAAAGUGCUGAGUCAUCUCUCCGACGGCUGCUAAAGCUAGCUGGUUAGCAUCUUAGCAUGAACUUUUUGUCAACAUCUAGAGCUAUUUUAUACCCAAAUAUUACAAAAAUAAAUAAAUUGAAGACACACCACGAAGAGUUAAACUCAUGACUCCAGAGUCUUUGAGAACACGGCCUCAUAAAACAUUUUUUAUCAUUCUUUUAUUUUGAAACUUUAGAGGCUUGUGUUAAGUUGAUCUGGGAAACUGCUCUUAUUUUGAAAUGCAGACUUUUUGGUUGAUCUUAAGUUCCUGAACAGGUGACCAGAGGAGGCAGCAGCUCUGAUAAAAAUAUUUGAGCGUCAGUUUUUAAAGUUUUUAUCGUCACAGAACCGAAAAUAUGAACAUCGUCAGAAACAGAUGAUUAAAUUUAAGGU